GAUAGCUCAGUUGGUUAGAACGAGGUGCUGAUAAUGCCAAGGUUGCAGGUUUGAUCCCUGUAUGGGACA